UGUUAAGUGCAUUAUUACCUUGGACCUUAUGUAAAGUUGAGAAUGACCGGUCUUGGAAGCUAAGCAGGGUUGGGCCUGGUUAUUACUUGGAUGGGAGACCAACAGGAAUACCAGGUGCCUUAGUGC
rnacentral:rRNA from 1 species